GUCGGUGACCACACGGCCGGGGACACACCUGUUCCCAUCCCGAACACAGCAGUUAAGCCCGGCCGGCCGAUGAUACUGCACUGCGGGAAAGUAGGUUGUUGCCGGCG
rnacentral:rRNA from 1 species